rnacentral:lncRNA from 1 species
GGUGGGGUCAUUUCAGCAUACUCAGGAAAUCUAUUCUGGAUGCAGCAUCUUGCACCCCAAGACUGGGGACAGACCCACUGUUACCACCAAUUCUGACCAGGCGCCGGUCCUAUUUGGAAUCUCUACUGGGAUCCAUGGCGUGGUCAGGAGCAGGCACACUGGUGGUUUCACUCUUCUCUAAGAUUACAGCUUCAGCAGCCAUGGUCAAAGCUGGAGUCUCUGGCACCAUCUAGCUGGCACACAGGGGCAGACACACUUGGGCUUUUCUCUAGACUCCACAGCAGGCAUUUCAUGGGAGAUGAGCUUCUGACUCCUUCCUGAACCAGGGCUCAACCUGUUAGCCCAGACUGCCCUGGGCUUGGAGCAUCUGCACUUGGAUCUUCGUUGGGAGCACUGAAGGUUGGCACCAUCCUAUCGGUGUGCCCUGCCUCUGUCUUGGCUGUUGGUCCCACUGCAGGGAUGAAAUACCAGUUUGGAUCCACUGUUUCCCUUGGCAGAAGCAACUCUGAAAACUGUAUUUGCCUUUCCAACCUUAAUAGCUGUUAGCAACCAGGCACACCUUGGCCCUGCCCUUUGGGGACCUGACAGAGUGUGUCACCCCUGCACACUUGCCAGGCCAUACCCUGACUCUGUACACAGGCACAAAAGGUCCCUUUAAGACAUGUGCUCCUCCCAUUCCCUCUCUCGGAAUAGGUGGGCCAGUAUUGCCCCCCUCUCAUUUUCUCCCUUUCUUCUUUCUCUUUCUUUUCUCUCCCUUCCCUUCCCCCAAUAAAACUUCCCAGGUAAUCUCUGUCUGCAUUUCAUGUUUGUCCCUUGCCUGCUGUGGUUUGGACUUACCUGCUGAGAUCCAUGUCUGCCAUAUUAUAACAAUAACUCUUACUUGACAGGUCAGGGGCCCAAUGCGAUAAUUCUGCCAAUUUCCGUGUGUCUGUCUGUCUGUCUGUCUGUCUGUCUGUCUGUCUGUCUGUCUGUCUAUCUGUCUGUCUCUGUGUAUAUGCUACUGUGCAAGCAUGGAGGGCUGAGGAUAGUUCCAUGAACCCAUUUGUCCUUCUACCGUGGAUACCAAGAACUGAGCCUAGGUCCUCGGGCUUGGCUCAGGGAUUUUUACUCUGAGCCAUCUUGCUAACUCUUAAUGUUUUUUUUGCUGAAUGGUGUUACAUCCAUUGCAAAUUUUCUCAAAUUUGUCUGUUUGACAAUAUAGGUGUGUAAAAUAAUGAAGGAUGUAAUAAUGAAAACAGUAGUAUUUCAAUGCGAAAUAACAGUGAUUGUGAGGUAACAUAGGUAGUGAACAAAUUCACCAGGGUCAGAGAAAAGCAGGCACAGGACCAGUAGGGAUGGCUCAGCAGACAAGGCACUGAUAUCAUGAUUUUGAUGUCCUGGCCUCAUAUGUUGGAGAGAGUCAGCUCCUCUGAGCUGUCCUCUGAUCACUCCAUGUGCACUGUGGUGUGUACAGGAAUGCACAUGCAUGUACCCCCACACACACACUCAUUAUCCUGGUGUUGAGGAAUGUACACUGAGAGGCAUGGUUGAACACAUAUACAUAAAUGUAUUUUUAAUGUAAUUUUAAAAUAAGACAAACAAAUGGAGGAAGCAGUGUUAUUACAUAAGCUGUAGUACACCCAUAGUGAGUUCCGAAAGUAGCUAAAAGCUACUGUCUGGUGGAGAGGGUAUGUAUUGGAUUAUGGUCUCUUUAUUUCCAAGCACAGCCGGGUGAAACACAGGCCAGAGCUAGGUUAAGAACCCAGCCAGCGUGGCCAGAACAAAGAGAGAGCCCCGUCCCCACGUGCAGUCCCUUAAGAAGCCCCCUUUACGUCAUCCCGGCUUUCCUUCACCCCGCCCUUAUGGGCGAGUCCCCAGGUCCACCUGGUACCUGCCCCAGGACUAUUGGGCGGGGCUAGGGUGACUCCCUACAAUUCCCCUUUUAGUCUAAGAGAGGAUUAAAACUUAAUAGUGUAAAAUAUCCAAAACUAACAAUCAUAAGGGUGGAAUACAAGAAUAUACAAUAAUCUGCUAUGAUACAUCCUAUGUCUAUUCUAGCUAAGUCUUAAAGUCAUGUGAAAAAAGUGUCUAACUUGAACACCUUCUUCCAAUCCCAACUCUAAACAAUAAGAAGGUUAUUCUUAACUAGGCUUACACUACCCUAAUACACAAUAAUGGGGAACGGGGGCGUAGCAUCUUCUAGGUUACUUCCUGCUGAAAAGGGACGAAGAUGGUCAUGUGGGGGCUCUGUGGAAAAAAAUGUCAGUAUAGGGAAAGUCUUUAAUGAGUUAUGUCUAGUCCAUGUUAUAUGAUUUGUUUGAUUGAAGAUCUACGUUGAAAUCCUCAACUUGAUUGAAGUCGUUACUCGAGGUUCUGGUUGGAGUGUCAGUCGAAACGGAGUGAGUUGAAUCCAGUGUAGUCGGGAAGGUGUAGUCUAAUUCCUUUUCCGGAGCAUGCAGGGAUUGCUGUCAGUCUGGGUCUUGAUGGCUGUAUGGGACUCAAACAUAAGUGUCAUCAGAGAAAUGUUCACUUGUUUAUGUAUGUGUACCCGGAAAGGUACCUUGACGAACCUUGACUAACAACGAUUAUGAGAGGGUGUAAAAGGAAAGCCAAGAAAAAACAAAGAUAGUCCUCUUAUUCUUUAUUUAUUCUGUAUUAUAG